GCAUUGGUGGUUCAGUGGUAGAAUUCUCAAUUUUCACGUGGGAGACCAAGGUUCGAUUCCUGGCCAAUGCA
rfam:Loxodonta africana unplaced genomic scaffold scaffold_15, whole genome shotgun sequence.